rnacentral:rRNA from 1 species
GUUAAAACGCUCGUAGUUGGAUAUUUGUUGGAGAAUACCGGUCUACCCGUAGCGGUCAGCACUCGGUGUAUCUCCGACAUCUCUUUGGUUAACUGCGUUCACUUCAUUGUGCGCGUAGAUGAGCCAAAACUUUUACUUUGAGGAAAUGAGAGUGUUUCAAGCAGGCCUAGUACAUGAAUACGUUAGCAUGGAAUAAUAGCAUAGGACCUUGUGUCGUAUCUGUUGGUUGACGACACCUGGUAAUAAAAAUAGGGAUAGUUGGGGGCAUUCGUAUUGCAUAGUCAGAGGUGAAAUUCUUAGAUUUGUGCAAGACGGACUACUGCGAAAGCAUUUGCCAAGGAUGUUUUUAUUAAUCAAGAACGAAAGUUAGGGGAUCGAAGACGAUCAGAUACCGUCGUAGUCUUAACCAUAAACUAUGCCGACUAGAGAUUGGAGGGCGUUAAUUUAUGACCCCUUCAGCAGCUUGAGAGAAAUCAAAGUCUUUGGGUUCCGGGGGGAGUAUGGUCGCAAGGCUGAAACUUAAAGGAAUUGACGGAAGGGCACCACCAGGAGUGGAGCCUGCGGCUUAAUUUGACUC